AGUUGGGUAUUGGGUCGCUUUUGAUGGAAAGAAUUCUGCCUACAAAGCAAUACUAUUCACCGUCCAGGAUUGUCGUGAAGUUUAGAGGCUGUGGAGGACCGUCCACACUGGCCUGAUGGGUCCCAGGACUCUCAAAGCAGCACUCGGGGGCUGCUUUUUCCACCUUUAUGUCUACACUGCUGGCUCUACCCACCUGCCCAGCCUCUGCUCCGCGCUGCUCUCUCCUGCGCCUCUGGGUGAUCGGAUGCUAACACCUGCUGUGCCGAGAGCUGAUCUCCGCCUGCCUGAGCUCAGAGGUCCAGCCCCUCUGCUGUGAGGCGCUGCGCAAGCUGCCCACACACAGCCAGUGGCAUUUCGGCAGCCGCCGCAGACUGUCACCCACUGCACCCACCUGCUCCUCUGUGCAUGACGUUCAAGAUCCACCCACCUGGUCCUUCCACAGCCUCCCCAUGUCUGUGAAGGGGAUUCCUUCGUGCCUCUUGCUCAGGCCCAAGACCUGUCUUCUUUCUCUCAUGCCACGCUCUACUCCAUUCAGAAACCUCAGUGCUCCCUUCCAA